rnacentral:lncRNA from 1 species
ACAAAUGCCCAAAACACUGCAUGUAUCAGCUCGAUUUACUGCUCAAAUGGGGCUAAUUGAAACUAAACGAACUGGUAGGUUUGAAAUGGGCAGAAAUGCAUUUGGUACAGACAUACAUGAAGAACAACUUGGCAUUCUAAUGAAAUCGAACACGAAACAAUAUGAUUGAUUAGCUAUCCAUGCUGCCAAAAGAAGAAUUCAAACAAAUGAAUGCAGCGAACUCAUCUCAGGCAUUACUAUAGGCCAUUUGACUCAAAUUUACCAGUCAAUGAGACGGAACAUAGAUUCACCUUAUAGUGUUAUAGCAGCCAUGAGUCCAAACAAAUUUAAAGUCUACUUUAAUACUCGCGAAAAUUAACAGAAGAAAACAACGUCGAAACCAACAGCCAAAUUUGGAUAACCCAUCAAGAGGAAAUCAGCAAACUCAAUGGCACAUGUUAAUUUAACCCAUAACUAAUCAGAUUAAGUGAAGGGAGGAGAAAUGAACCUGAAAUCAGAAUUCUUUCACUAAUAACAGAAGAAUACAAAGUUUUGCUCCAAAAUUCCAACGGAAAGCAGCCACAGUAUCGAAUAGAAAUUAUAAACCAAAAUCCAAAUCGCGAAGAUUAACUCGGACAGAACUCGAACAGUACCAAGCGGACCAUGGAACAACAAGCAAUUUCAAUCAAACUCCAUCACAAGCGAGAUGGACCCAGAGACGGGAUGCAAAAAAAUCGAAAUUUUUUGUUCUCUGAUUUUAACAAAGAAAAACGAAACUAAACACGAAAAGAAACUCAACACGAUUUUAGCUGCAUUUUUUUUGUAUUUUUCAACGAAAAAGAACAAAGAAGAUGAAAAUCGAAAUAAGAAAAUUUCCAGAAAAUCAGAAGUAUCUCUAGAACCCUCGUCCAAAUUUCUCCUAAGUAUCCCAAAAAUCCAAAAAAUCCUCUUCCUCUUACCCAAAAAUCCUUACCUUAUAUAACCCCUCCAAAAUCUCGAACCUUCUUCUAAAAAUCUAGAAAUCCUUUCCAUUUUCCGUGAACGAUUUAGGGACAGAUGGAGGGAAUGGAUUGAAUUCCAUCCAUCCACGACUCCCAUAUGUCCAACAAAUCGCUCAAGAGGUGAAAGGCACGUGAGAAAUCCAGAUAACCUUCUUAUUUUGUCAGAGGCCGUUGGAAUCUUGCUGACGUGGUGGGAUAAGGGUGCGUGUGAGUGAACUCGCCUGAGUUUUCAGGCGAGUUGGGGUUGAAUUGGACUGGAGAAGAAGAACAGUAGCUGGCGCCGCUUUGAGGGGUCUUUAGGAUUUUAGGUUUUCUUUUAGGAGAGAAAUGAUAUAACAAGUUUAUGCAGGGGGAAAAUGGGGCGGGUUUGGGGCAAACGGACCGAGGGUCUUGGGCUGACCGUCGGGUAAUUUCGUUUGGGCUAGGAAACUUGGAUUGACUUUGGCCUAGAUUUAAACCUUCUUAUUUCUUUCUUUUCCUUUUCCAAUUUCACACUUCUUUUUUUUCUUUUCCAAAAUUAAAAUAAAUCCUACAUUAAUUAAUAAUUAUUUUAAACUAAAUUAACCUACCCAAUUAGAUUAAUCACUCAUCAUGGUAUUUACAAUAAUUAAUUAAAUCCUAAAUUUAAAGAACAAUUACACAAUUCAAAAUGUAAAAAUGCAAAAUGAAUUAUUUUUGUGAUUUUUAUUUUUUAUAAAACAAACUAAUUUGCUAAUUAAUCUAAAAAUAUAAAUUAAAUCCUAAAUGCAGAUGCAACAUAUUUUUUGUAUUUUUCAUGAAUUAAAUAAAAUAAACGUGCACAGACAAAUGCAAAUAAUUAACAGAAAAUGCCACAAAAUCCAACAAAAUUGCAAACACUGAAAGAAAUUAUUUUGUUUUGAAUUUGUUGGAGUAAUACAUAUAGGGAAAAAAUCACGUUCUCACACAUAUGAGAAGCAAGAUUAUGAAUAUAGAAUUAUCUCAAGGCGGGCUCCUGACAUCAAAAUAGACAAAACAAAGAAUUUGAAAGCUAAAAACUUAAAUUGUACUCCCUUGUUCUCCAGGCGAGCUCCUGACUGUUGUGCUUAAAAGUAUUCCCUGCUCUUGAGGCGGGCUCCUGACUACUGCAUUUGAAAGUAUUCCCUGCUCUCCAGGGGGGCUCCUGACUUCAAUCUUGAAAUGUAUUCCCUUGUUCUCCAGGCGGGCUCUUGACUUCAACUUGAAAUGUAUUCCCUUGUUCUCUAGGCGGGCUCCUGACUUCAAAAUAAACAAAGCAAAGAAUUUGAAAACUAAAACUUAAAUUGUAAUCCCUUAUUUUCCAGGCGGGCUCCUGACUAGAUGUGCUUGAAAGUAUUCUCUGCUCUUCAGGCGGGCUCCUGACUGCUGCAUUUGAAAGUAUUCCCUGCUCUCCAGGCGGGCUCCUGACUUCAACAAAACAGACAAAAACUAAGAAAAUUUUCUGCCCCAGUUUGGUGGCUGGGGACAGAUGUGAUUGUAAAACAAAAUCAUAUUACCACGUAUUACUACGGAUUUGAAAGCUAGAUCCCAUUAUUCAGGGGGGCCUGACAACUCUUAACUAAACGACAAUUUAAAAUCUAAGUUAUAUCUUCUACAGGUGUGACUUCUGCUAAAUCUUGCUAUCUAAGAGGAUCUUUAAACUACUCCCCAUUAUCCAAGAGGGUCCUGAAAAUCAAAAGUCCAAUUUUAUCUUAAGGGUGACAACUUUUAUGGCUGAAUUAUACUACCUUACAACAGACUUUACGAUAAAUGUUGUAAUCUAAUCGAAAUCUUAAAGCUAAGUCCCAUUAUUCAGGAGGGUCCUGAAAACUCUUAAUUGGUUCAUAUCUCAAGCAUGCAAACUUUUAAAACAACUUAUAUUCCUUUAGGAUACAUUUAUGCUAGAUUAUGCUAUUUCUGAAUUUUAAACUAGGUCCCAUUUUCUAGGAGGGUCCUGAAAAUCAAAAUCAGACCUGUUUGGUGCUUGCUCUUUCCCCCUAUGGAGAGUUUCUCCGAAUCAAACGAAUUUUCUGCCCCUGUUUCAAUCAAAGAAUUUUUUUUCAGUUUAAAGUGGUGGUUAGCUGAUGGCAUUCUUGAUGAAGGUCUUUCUACUGCAAUGUUUUGUUCCGACUGGCUUCUCCGAACUGGCCCUGAACCGUUUUGACUUUCUGACUGACUUUGAAACCCCAUGACCCUUGACAAACCGAGUGUUCUAUACCCAUGCUGUUGUUUUGCCUCUGACCUUUUUAUCUGAACCUUUGCAUCUCCCACGACAUUACCAAUCUAUUCCACUGAUGAAACUUCCGGUGAUUCCUUGUAUCCCUCUCUUACAUCAUGUUAUCCUUAGUAUGCUUUGACCACUCUGUGCUUUGCAACUUUGGAAGUUAGUAGUGAGCUUUGAAAUCCUUUUCACUUGAUUUGAACAAGACUGACAUUGAAAUAUCUUUAGAUAAAUAUCCAAAAGAAAAUGGAAUGCAAUGACUUUGCGGGUUAAGGAUAAAAAGAAUCCAAAACCAGAUGACUGCUACAAAAGGAAAAAGAAAAGGAAACUUAUCUAAGUGGAACAGCUAGUACCAAUGAUCAUGACAUGCAUUUCGGAUUAAUAGGCCCAAUCUGUCCAACCGAUCAACUUUCAGUUGCCGUACUUUGUUGCCUUAGGAUUUCCAUGACCUGAUUGCUUUACCCAACCCUUGACCUUGUUCAUCCUGCGACACCUUGAAAGGUUUUCACCAGUAGACCACUUUCAUUCAUUCAUCUCUCGACUCACUUUCGCCUUACGGUGCCCGUGAGGGUUUUCACCAAUAAGACUCUCUCAUUUUUCUCUCAACUCCCGUCGCCUUACGGUGCCUGUGAAGGUUUUCACCAAUAAGACUCUCUCAUUUUUACUUCUCUAAAGUCUCGUCGCCUUACGGUGCCUGUGAAGGUUUUCACCAAUAAGACUCUCUCAUUUUUAUUUUUCCUGCUUGAACCAGAGUGUUGCCCCUGACAUGAAUUACAUUUACCUGCUCGACUUGGUAUUUAAAGACUGAUCAGAAGGUCUUUCUUUGGACCGUAAUGCGGGCUUAUGGACAGGGUUAGAAGGAAAGGGUAUAAAAGGCUCAAAACAAUUCACAUGGGUUCAAAAUUACAACUUUCGGAAUUAGAUUUCUUACAACAACCACAACUUCUGCCCUAGUUUCUUGCUUGAGGACUUUUGGAUUUUUAUUUUGAUGAGACCGAACUGUGAGGCUGCCUACGUAUCCUUAAAAGGAAUCAGGUCGAACGUAGUUCAUGUCAUAGGAAUCACUUUGUUGUUGUGAUUUUCUCUUUUCUCUUUCUUUUUUUUCUUUUGCUUUGUUUUUCUCUUGUUGUUCUUCUCUUUUUUUCUUUUUUUUCUCUUUUUGCUUUUCUCUUUUCUUUUCUUUUCUUUCUCUUUCUUCUUUCUUUUCAUUUUUCUUUUCCCUUUUCCUUUCCUGUUCAUUCUUUCUUUUUCUUUUCAUUUACUUAUCCUCCACACCUACGUUUCUGAAUUGUGCCGUUGAUCCCGAAAGAGGGGUAUGAAAGAAAAUAAAUAAGGCUCAAAGGGGUAACAAAGGAUAAAGUGUUUAGAUAGUAGAACAAAACGCCUUCGUCAUUUCAAUCUUCAAAAUAUGCCAAAUACAAACAAGUACAAUCAAAGGAAGAAAUCAUACAUAAUAUCUUUUGACUGCAUCGGAAUUGAUAGCCAUUUCUACACAUUUCCCUUCUACAUCUGUCAAAUAUAACGCGCCAUUGGACAACACUCUAGUUACAACAAAUGGCCCCUGCUAGUUUGGGGCAAAUUUCCCUUUUGCUUCAACUUGAUGCGGCAAGAUACGUUUUAACACUAACUGACCCACUUCGAACUUCUGGGGACGUACCUUCUUGUUAUAUGCUCUCGCCAUUCUCUGUUGGUACAAUUGGCCGUGACAUACUGCUGCCAAUCUCUUUUCAUCAAUCAGACUUAAUUGCUCCAAGCGGGUUUUGACCCAUUCAACGUCAUCGAUUUCUGCCUCAGCAACAAUCCGAAGGGAUGGGAUUUCAAUUUUUGCGGGUAUCACCACCUCCGUUCCAUACACCAACAAAUAAGGAGUGGCCCCUACUGAAGUAUAGACAAUAGUGUGAUAACCCAGCAAUGCAAACGACAACUUUUCAUGCCAUUAUCUAGAACCUUUCACCAUUUUUCGAAGUAUCUUCUUUAUAUUCUUGUUGGCUGCCUCGACCGCUCCAUUUGCCUUAGGGCGAUAUGGGGUGGAAUUUUGAUGUAUGAUCUUAAACUGCUGACAUGUCUCCGUUAUCAGAUGACUGUUGAGAUUAGCGCCAUUGUCCGUGAUGAUUACCUUCGGAAUCCCAAACUAACAGAUGAUAUUUGAAUGCACAAAGUCGACCACUGCUUUCUUGGUCACAGAUUUGAACGUUUUCGCUUCAACCCACUUGGUGAAAUAAUCAAUGGCUACCAGAAUAAACCUGUGUCCGUUUGAGGCUGCUGGCUCGAUUGGCCCAAUGACAUCCACGCCCCAGGCAACAAAAGGCCAUGGUGCAGACAUUGCAUGUAAUUCAGAUGGUAGAGAAUGAAUCAAAUCUCCAUGCACUUGGCACUGAUGACACUUACGCACAAAACUUAUGCAAUCCCGCUCCAUAGUGAGCCAGUAAUAACCUGCUCGGAGAAUCUUCUUUGCUAGAACGUACCCACUCAUAUGCGGUCCACAAACUCCGGAGUGUACCUCAGUCAUGAUAGCUGUGGCCUGUCUAGCAUCUAUUCAUCUUAGCAAUCCCAGAUCUGGAGUUCUCUUGUACAAUACCCCUCCACUGAAGAAAAUCCAUUUGCCAAUCGUCGAAUUGUUCUUUUCGGAUCACAUGUGGCCUACAUCGGGUAUGCCCCCAUCCUGAUGUAUUCUUUGAUAUCAUGGAACCAUGGCUCCCCAUCAAGUUCUUCUUCCACCAUAUUACAGUAAGCAUGCUGAUCACGAACCUGAAUCUGCAAAAGGUCCACAUAAGCCUUAUCUGGAUGAUGUAACAUUGAUGCCAGAGUAGCCAAAGCAUCGGCGACUUCAUUAUGGAUCCUUGGGAUAUGCUUGAAUUCUAUCGACUGAAACCGUUGACAAAGAUCAUGCAAACAUUGUCUGUACGGUAUGAGUUUCAAAUCCCGUGUUUCCCAUUCUCCCUGAAUCUGGUGCACUAGGAGUUCCGAGUCACCCAAGACCAAGACUUCCUGGACACCCAUAUCCACAGCUAACCUCAAACCCAGAAUGCAGGCCUCGUAUUCCUCCAUGUUGUUGGUGCAGUAAAAACGAAGCUGAGCCGUAACAGGGUAGUGCUGCCCUGUUCAGAAAUAAGUACUGCUCCUAUCCCGACGCCCUUCAUGUUUGCAGCCCCAUCAAAGAAAAGUUUCCAUCCCGUCUUCUCAACUUGCUCCAACUCAUCAAUGUGCAUUACCUCUUCAUCGGGGAAAUAAGUUUUCAAAGGUUCAUAAUCUUCAUCAACCGGAUUCUUGGCCAAAUGGUCCGCCAAGGCUUGUGCUUUCAUUGCAGUUCGAGUCACGUAGACAAUGUCAAACUCUGUGAGCAGGAUCUGCCACUUUGCAAGCCUCCCUGUGGGCAUAGGCUUCUGAAAGAUAUACUUCAAUGGAUCCAAGCGAGAUAUGAGAUAGGUAGUGUAAGAUGACAAAUAAUGUUUCAGUUUCUGUGCCACCCAAGUUAGGGCGCAACAUGUCCUCUCAAACUGAGUGUACUUGACCUCGUACGACGUGAAUGUCUUGCUGAGGUAAUAGAUGGCCUGCUCCUUCCUGCCAGUGAUAUCAUGUUGACCCAAUACACAGCUGAAUGAAUUGUCCAAUACCGUCAAAUAUAGAAUCAAAGGUCGCCCUGGUUCUGGCGGGACCAACACGGGUGGAUUUGACAAAUACCCUUUUAUCUUAUCAAACGCCUCCUGGCAUUCAUCUGUCUACUUGACUGCAGCGUCUUUAUUUAACAGUUUGAAGAUUGGCUCAUAGGUUGUCAUGAGCUGAGCGAUGAACCUGCUGAUAUAAAUCAAUCUCUCCAAUAAACUCAUCACCUCGGUCUUGUUCCUCGGAGGUGGCAAUUCCUGGAUGGCCUUGACUUUCGAUGGAUCCAGUUCAAUCCCCCGGUGGCUGACUACGAACCCCAACAACUUUCUAGACGGCACCCCAAAAGCACACUUUGCAGGAUUAAGCUUGAGAUUGUACCUGCGAAGCCUCCGGAAGAACUUCUACAGAUCCCUGACAUGGUCAGACUGCUUUCUAGACUUCACGAUCACAUCAUCCACGUACACCUCAAUUUCCUGGUGUAUCAUAUCAUGGAAUAUUGUUGUCAUUGCCCUCAUGUAGGUUGCCCCAGCAUUUUUCAAGCCAAAUGGCAUGACCCGAUAGCAGUACGUUCCCCACGGCGUGAUGAAUGCCGUCUUUUCUACAUCUUCCUCGUCCAUUAAGAUCUGAUGAUAACCCGCGUAGCAAUCUACAAAAGAGCCAAUCUCAUGUUUGGCGCAAUUAUCAAUCAAGAUAUGGAUGUUUGGCAGAGGAAAAUUAUCCUUCGGACUUGCUUUGUUGAGAUCCCGACAAUCAACGCACACCCUGGUCUUGCCAUCCUUCUUUGGCACAGGCACAACAUUAGCUAACCAGGUGGGAUACCGGGUGACCCGAAUGACUUUGGCAUCGAACUACUUGGUGACCUCUUCCUUGAUCUUUACACUCAUAUCCGUUUUGAACUUUCUCAGCUUCUGUUUGAUAGGAGGGAAUGUCGGGUCAGUGGGCAACUUGUGAACCACUAAAUUAGUGCUUAGACCCGGCAUGUCGUCAUAGGACCAUGCAAAAAUGUCUUUGUAUUCGAACAAUGCUUUAAUUAUCUCUUCCAUGAGUUGAGGUUCCAGAUGGACACUUAUUUUAGUUUCACGGACAUUUUCUUGGUCCCCUAGAUUAACUGCUUCCGUGUCAUUCAAAUUAGGUUUGGGCUUUUCCUCAAAAUGACUUAGUUCCUUACUAAUUUCUUCAUAGGCCUCAUCAUCCUCAAAUUCCAACUCGUCAUCACACUCAAUUUAUUGUNCUUGUAUUAUUAUUUCAGAGUUAGAUUGGCUUUUAAAACUGGGCCGAAGAUUCCUCAUGCAUGUCAUGUCAUUGAUAUCAGCAUAAAAAGAACUGUACAAAAGAAGAAAACAAAAAUAAAAUUAGAAGAAAUGAAGGAAAAGGAACAAUUGCAUCUCAUUGAAUAUAAAGGUAAUAGGGUUUUAACACAUCCAACUGGACGAAACAUAAUAUCUGAAUUACAGACCCUGGAAUAAUCCAGACAACUAAAAGAAAAUCAAAACCCACUACCAAGACUCCCUCCGGGUAGGAAGAGGAGUAGCUUCCCAGUUGUUGAUUUUUGCACGUGGUCCCACAAAUUGCACAUCUGCCUUGCUUGACCCUUCCCUAACCUGAACCAUGUUGACCUCGGCGAAUAACCUUUCGAACCCCUUCUCCAAGUCUCCAUCGGUACCAAUCAGUGGUCCAGGGACCUUUGACAAUAGUUGCUUUCUAGUACCCGGCCUGACGAAUGACCUAGACAGACGCGGGAUUGGCUUUGGCAAUGCCCAUGAUUUCUUUUUCAUUUUUCUAGCUCUUCUCAUGUCUGCAAUGGUAGGUUUGAACCCCGGACUAAAAGUAUCCAGAUUCUUUGGAAGAGAAACUGGCUGCACAAUACCUUGCAGAGACGCACAUAAACCCUUGCCUGGUACGAAACCAUUUUUCAACAUUUCAAUAGCUACAAUAACUGAUGCCGCAUCCAUCUUUGGAGUUGGCACGCACUUUCCUUCCAGAAUUUUCUCUACCGAUACUAUGUCGAGAACUUGAUAAACCCAUGGACCCUUGUCAUCGUCAACCUCUAUGAAUAGAACGAUGGCACCAUUGGGCACACACAAAUUAUCUUCGCCAUGUACAACAAUUUCCUGUCGAUCCCAUUCAAACUUGACCAAUUGAUGCAGAGUAGACGGGACUGCUUUGGCCGUAUGGAUCCAAGGUCGUCCCAACAGCAAAUUGUACGAAACAGUCACAUCGAGCACCUGGAAUUCCAUAGUAAAUUCAACUGGCCCUAUUGUGAGUUCAAGCACUAUGUCCCUGACUGAAUCCUUCCCUCCACCGUUGAAUCCCCGAACACAAAUACUGUUCUUGUGAAUUCUUUCAUCCUCCACUUGCAGCUUGUUCUGUGUGGAGAGAGGAUAGAUGUUCGUGCUAGACCCGUUGUCAACCAGUACCCGAGUAACCACAGAAUCUUCGCAUUUCACCGUCAGAUAAAGGGCUCUAUUGUGCUCGGUACCCUCCAUGGGUAACUCAUCAUCAGAAAAAGUGACUCGGUUUACCUCAAAUAUCUUGUUAGCUAUCUUUUCCAAGUGGUUUACUGAGAUUUUGUCAUGAAUGUGGGCUUCGUUCAAGAUCUUCAUCAAAGCAUGACGAUGCUCGUCUGAAUGGAUCAAUAAUGACAAGAGCGAGAUCUGAGCUGGUGUAUUCCUUAACUGUUCCAUAAUGGAAUAGUCUUGCGCUUUCAUCUUUCUCAGAAAUUCUUCUGCUUCUUCCUUAGUCACUGCUUUCUUCACCAACACUGGAUUAUCUUUUGAGGUCUUAGCAUUUCUCAACUCUUCGGGGACAAAGCACCUCCCCGAUCGAGUUAACCCAUGGGUCUCACUCACUUCUUCUUUAACCUCUUUCCCCUGGUAAGUUACUGUCACUCGUUCAUAAUUCCACGAGACCGCCUUGCUGUUGAUUACUGGAAGCUGAGUUACUGGUUUUAUAAUAACAGGCUCUGUGCGAGCACCCUUCACGACCAUAACAGGUUUACUUGUAACCCCUGAUACCACCACUUUAGCUUUCUCUGGUUUCAUUGCAACAGUGCUUGAAGACCCUUUCUCGGCUACCACAACUGGCUUAUUGUCUACCCCUUUCAACUGGACCACUGAUUUCCCACUGGUUACCUUUUCCUUUGAACUGGUUUCACUGGAGCGGAUCAUCAUCACCAUCUACGAGGGUUUCUUAGCCUUCCCUACCUUAUGUAUCAACUCAAUCAUAUGGGUCUCACGGUGAGCUGGUAGCGGAUUUUGGUUGAUAUUUGGUGCUUCUGGGGCCUGAACCUCGAUCCGAUGAGUAUCAAUGAGCUCUUGUACAUCUGUUUUUAGUUUCCAGCAUUUCUCUGUAUCAUGGCCCAGGGCCCCUGAACAAUACUCACAACUCGCCAAACGAUCAAGAUUUCUGGGAAGGGGAUUCGGCAGUUUGGCUUCGAUCGGAUUCAAUAUGCCCAACUGUCUCAGCCUGUGGAAUAGACUAGUAUAGGAUUCUCCCAAUGGAGUAAAAGUCUUCUGCUUCUGCAACCUCUCAUUCUUAAAGGCUUGAUUGGGUCGAAAACCUGUUCCAGGAGGAUUUUUGUAGGCUUUUGGGGGUGGGUAGUUAUUUUGUGGAGCUNNNNNNNNNNNNNNNNNNNNNNNNNNNNNNNNNNNNNNNNNNNNNNNNNNNNNNNNNNNNNNNNNNNNNNNNNNNNNNNNNNNNNNNNNNNNNNNNNNNNNNNNNNNNNNNNNNNNNNNNNNNNNNNNNNNNNNNNNNNNNNNNNNNNNNNNNNNNNNNNNNNNNNNNNNNNNNNNNNNNNNNNNNNNNNNNNNNNNNNNNNNNNNNNNNNNNNNNNGUGUUGUGGUGGGCUAUAUGGAGUGUGGGGGUAUGUUUGGGGAUAGGGUCGAGGCUGGUUGUAGAACUGUGGAAGGUUCCUAGAUCUACCCCAAGCUGUCGACUCGAUCGUUGCAACAUCCUCCUUCUUCUUCUUCCCCAUCACACUCCCAGUAUCGUUUUGAAUGGCCUGAGUGGUUGCCUUGAUUGCUGAAUAACUCAUGAUCUUGUUGGACUUGAGUCCCUCUUCAACCAUGCCUCCCAUUUUCACGACUUCAUUAAAGGACUUACCUAUUGCUGACACCAAGUGACCAAAAUAAGUGGGCUCCAAAGCCUGCAAGAAAUAAUCAACCAUCUCACUCUCUUUCAUUGGGGGGUCAACCCUCGCUGCUUGCUCUCUCCAAUGGAACCCAUAUUCUCGGAAACUCUCACCGGGCUUCUUCUCAAGCUUUGUCAACGACAGACGAUCUGGGAUAAUUUCGAGGUUGUACUAAAAAUGGCAGGCAAAGGCCUGGGCCAAAUCAUCCCAUGUGUACCACCUGUUGUGAUCUUGUCUGGUAUACCAUUCUAAAGCCGAUCCACUCAAACUUUGGUUGAAAUAUGCCAUCAACAAUUCGUCUCUUCCACCUGCUCCUCUCAUCUUGCUACAAAAUCCUCUUAAGUGUGCUACCGGGUCACCAUGCCCAUCGUACAGAUCAAACUUGGGCAUUUUGAACCCUAUUGGCAACUGAACAUCUGGGAACAAACAUAAGUCCUUAUAGGCUACACUCACUUGACUCCUAGCCCCCUCAUAUCUCAGAACGAUUGCUCUAAGCUUUUGACCUUUCUGAUCAUCUCUUCAUGCUCGGGAUUUUUGGGCGGUUUCUCGGUCUCUGCCGGGAUAUCAAGAUGAGGAGUGUAAGGAUAUGUUUCUGGAACUUUGAAGGUGGGUUCAGGGGGAUAGUACUGGUUGUCGUGAGUUUGGAACAGGGGUUCACUGGAAGAUCGGUGUAAUGUAGCAGGUGAAGGUGCCACAAAAACAUGUGUAAUUAGUGGAGGAGGGUAUGAGACUUGUUUGGGUGGUGGAGCUUCAGAAGUAUGGGAAGUGGCGCCAUGAAAUUGUUGGUAGAGGGGAAAUGCUGGAGAUGAGUUCACAGUAGGAGGCUCUGGAGGUUAGGCUGAUGGUGGGAUAUAAGCAGAAUUGGCGGGAUAAACUGGUGGUGGAUGCCCCUUCGCCCAAGCUUGGUACAUUUCAGUCAUCUGCUGCUUCAGCUUAUACAUUUCUUCCCUCAUUGCAUUAAUGUCCAUUUCUUCCACCUCUUUCGAUGGGUCAACAAUACUUGUUUUCGGUUCCUGGUCGACCAUAUUCAGCAUGUCUUUCGAUCGAGUGUUGUAAGAGUGAGUUGCCAGAAUACCAGUCAACUAAUCGCCUGCCUGGACUUAAUACAUCAAACAAACAACCUUGUUAGCGAUUAGGCUUUAAUAGAUUGGUAACCGCACAUUGGGCAUGAAUGCACCUAAACAGUUAACCAUCUCUAUUAUGUAUUUGAUCGGUUGCAUGCGUCAUUCCGGCCUUUUCUUACUUUCGAUUGCAAACCUCCCCCUUUUCUUUCUUUUCUUUUCCUUUCCUUUCAGUCUUGCCUCUGUUCUCUCUUUGUUUUUACUUUCUCUUAUUUUAUCUUCUCUCUUUUCUUUCUUGUUUUUCCACUCUUUCUUUCUCUCUUUUAUUUGGUUACGGUCGAAUCAUAUGGAGAUUGCCUACGUAUCAUGACCCCACAUGAAUCAGACCAAGCGUAGUUCUUAGGGAUAAGUAUAAAAUAAAGUAAAAACAUUUGGGGAUUUUCAAUUUUCAUAUAAAAAACGCUAUUACAAAGACUGAAACUAACAGACUCAAAAGAAACUAACAGACUCGAGAUACAGACUUAAAAACAAACAAUCCACAUGCUCUGAUAACAAAAAUACAGACUCCAAAACAAUUGGCAGACUUUAACGGAAAGAAAACACAGACUCAAGAAAUCACGAAUACAUCAAUGCCUCAAUUGUCCCUGGGACCACGGGGGCGUCAUUCGGCCUUGCUGUGGGCCGACUCGCUAAAUCCCCCUGAAGGUGGUAGAGAUCUUCCAUUACCCGACAAACAAAAAUCAUCACAGUAGCGAAGAACAUAGAUCUCGUCAUAUCCUCACAGCUACUGCACUUCUUUGCGAUAUAGUUGGCGACCCUUUUGACUCGCUCUCUUAUGACGUCCUUCUCUUGCAACAAAUGCCCAAUUUGUUCAGUUCUGGCUUCCAAGGUUCGUUCGGCUACCUGGUUCUGCUCUUGGAGUUUUUGCAAGUCCCUUUUUAGCCGUGCCAUUAAGGCGUAACAAUGUUCUCUUUCAGCCUUAACAUUUUUGGCUUGUUUAGCCAUGUCACCCUUGAGGUUGCCGAUUGCCUUUUCCCAACCUGUGACCCCUCUUUCAUAUCUUUCUUUCAUCUGUUGAACGAAAGCUGCACGCCCUUCGGCACUUUUGGCCAACCUUGCCCGUGCUUUUGCUAGUUCAGACUCAACUUUUUGUAGGUCAUCUUCAUAGUCACGUACCUUUUGAGUGAGGUUGUAAAUGAGCCUCUCAUCUUUCCUGCUUCGGCCUGGGUUCUCGGCUUCAAUUUUCAACUGUCGAACCUGAGCUCUGAGGCCUCGUUUUCUGCACCAAUCUUCUCCUUUCACCUUCGACCUCUUGUGCCUGCNNNNNNNNNNNNNNNNNNNNNNNNNGCCGUUUUUGAGAUACCGGCAGCUAUUCCAAUCUUGCUGAACUACAGCCUCAGGCAAUGCGGCUUCUGGAUGCAACUCUAUAACCUGGACGCUUAGAUCUUCAUCUUCAGGUGCAAUCUGAUACCUUCCCAAUUGCCUCAAGAUCCUCUGCGGUGCAUAUGGCUGAAUACUCCUUACGCCCAUUAUCCUCAGGUAUCCUUUGGUAGCAGUCAUAUAGAUGGCUUCUGUCCUAGGGAGCCAUCCUAUAGUCCACUCAACCUGACCUGCGUCAAGAACUUUCAAAUGAGAAACCCAUGCUUCAAAUCCUUCUGGUGUGUUGUAAUCUUUUAUCCUCUUCUCAUAACUAAUGAUGAAGUUGUUUGGGCUCGAACCGUAACUCAUGAAUCUGGGAUGAUGGUGAAGAUGCUCGAUCAACCACAUUUGCAGAAUGAUACUGCAACCUUCAAAAAAUUGAGCCCCUACUUUGCACAAAGUCAAUGCUCGAUAGAUAUCAGCCAGCACCAACGGGGUAAGUGUAUGAUCCUCCUUGGUAGUAAGGAUUUGUGCAAUUCUAGCCAUACGAAUAUCCACCGUCCCUCUCUCAUUUGGGAAAACCAUGAUCCCCAAGAAUGCCACAAUAAAUGCGAACCGGCGAUGAACUUGCCAAAGGCGCUUGUUUUGUUUCUUGCUUAGACCCUUUUCAUGCGUUUCAAAACCAGCAGAAUGCCCGAACCUGAAGUAUAAGAAAUGGAAAGCACAUCACCCGUUGCUCACACGUUCCUUAUUUGUCUGUUUACUAAUAUUCAAGAGGUCAAAGAACUUGUGCACCGAUGGAGCCCUUGGAAAUAUAAGUUGUUGCUUCCUCAAGUCCCGUCCGAAUUCAAUGUACUCGGCUAUCUCCUCCAAAGUAGGAGUGAUCUCAAAAUCCGAGAAACGAAAGACAUUGUAGACAGGAUCCCAGAAAGUUACCAAAGCUUUGACUAGAUCUUCCUGUGGUUUGAUUUCAAAGAUGUCUAUAAGAGCUCCCAAGUGCUUUUUCACCCAUUUCUGACCAUCUUCGUCUAGAUCAUUCCACCACAUACACGAGUGUAGCCGAGCCUGUUCCCUGACCACUUCGGGCGGUUCCUGGAUGGUAUUCAUUUGUUCCCUACAGAAGAUUAAGGUUAAGGUUGACUCAAGUUGACACUUUUGUAAACAGUUUUUGAAGAAGAAAAGAAAAAGAAAAGAACAUAAUUUCUUCUCUUGUAUGCCAACUUUAGCCAAAUGGCUGUUUUCGCAAAUACGGCCCCUUUCCAAUUUCACUCGAAUUUUGAGGCCGGGGGGGGGGGGGGGAGGGGAUUAUUUUAUGACCCCUCACAAACUUGUCCAUUCUUUUACAGAAAUAGCCUUUCGACAACUGAAACAAUACUCUGAGGCUAUUUUGGCAAGAACGGUUUAAGACAUUGCCGAAGCUGAAUCGACUUAUUUUGACCAAAAAUCAAGAUUGCAUUCACUCGACCACUGACUCUCUUUUCUUGUUUUUUUUUCAAGAACAAGUUCGAACCUUAUGUAGGUUGCCUACGUAUCCCACAUCCGGUGAGAAUCAUACCUGCGUAGUUCGGUCAGUUCUGACACAUUUGAAAGAACACAGUGUUGGACUCUUUUAAAAAUAACUCCUUUUUUUUUGAAAAAUUUUGGGCAGAGUUUCAGGACACUUUUCAAAUACCGGGAUGUUUAGAACCGAGUUUUAUUUCCUUCCCUAUAUCACUCUUGGUUUUCCUUCUUUUUUUCGCUUUAUUUUCCCUGGCUGGUCAGCAUGCAAGCCAAAAUAAAUGUUCACAUAGCACAUAAAAUGCAUCAGGAUGGUCUGUUAUUUCGGGCAAACCUGUCCUAGACGGACCCAACCCCUGUGUUGAGUCCCCUAAGUCAAAUGCACAUGAUGCAAACAAACGUUCCUACUAGGGAUCCGGCGUGGGGCUGUGUUUUUAUAGGUUUAAAUCCUGGGGUUUUGGUCUAAACUUGGGGUACCCGAGCGGAAAACUGGGGCCGAGGAGGGGGCGACGUACAGGGAGCACUGAAGUCUACCCGGCCUUGUCGCUUGCCCAGCCUCGCCCUAUUUGGUAUAAUUUCUACAGAAAAAACAGGCUACGCGAACGUAUGCACCAUUUCCAGAAGACUCAGAGGGGUGACAUAAGAAGACAGUUAUAUACAAUUCAAAUAAUAUUAAAGCGGUAAACAGAUAGCAUUUAGCACAAAAAGGUUCACAGAAUACAGUAAUAUUAACAACAAAUGAAGCCAAGUAAAAAUCAUACUAACAAGCUCGAAUUCUUGAACCCUGAACCAGAGAUUCUGGGUUCGAUCCCCAGCAGAGUCGCCAGAGCUGUCACACCUCCUUUUUUACUUAUACCCCGUAAAGGGCAUAAAUACAAGGGAAUUUUUCCAAUUAAAGGACAAUCGAAACGGGAUCAUUUAUUUAUUAAAAAUCAGAGUCACCACUUGGGAUAAUUUAGGGUGUCCCAAGUCACCAGUUUAGGAUCCCGAAUCGAGGAAAGUUGACUCUAUUCAUGGUCCGCGAAUAUAGAAAACCGGGUAAGGAAUUCUGUUAACCCGGGAGAAGGUGGUAGGCACUACCGAGUUCCGUGGUUCUAUCACGGUCGCUUUGAUUAUACUUGGCUUGACUAAAUGGUUUAAUUACUCAUUUUAGAACCUAUGUGCUUCUACCUCUUAACCGCUUUUAGUUAAGAAAUUAUCUUGAAAUGGGUCACGCGUACGUGUACCCAUUUGUUUGGCGCGUCAAAAAUCAUGUCACGCGAACGUGUCCACAAUUAAUGACACUUUGUUAAGAAACGUUUGGCCAAAGUUGCGCAAACGCAUACUCCGGUUUUGUUUUUAAGAAAUUGUAAUCAUGUCAUGCGAACGUGUACACAAUCAUAGUUGUAUUUUAAAUGCACCUAAAGGCUUUUCUACAGACAAUUAUUUUGAACGUCUACGUUGUAAAAUUAAUAAGAGGGCCAUAGGGAUUCAAUUAUGAAUGGCACACCUCGGCCUAGAGAACUACAUCUAAUUUAGCGGCCUAUUAAAUGUAGGCGAUUCUCUACCUGGAUUUAAAUCGCAAGACAUCGGAGCAAUCAGCUACUGAAGUUGCACUCAAGCAACUUGUAGAUUCUAGGGCAGUGGCGUUGUGCCUUUCUCAGCCAGUGCAUCGGACAAGCUUGUGCAAAAAUAUGUUGCAAGACUAUGCUCAGAAGAAUGAAUUGUGCAAUUCCACAAUAUGAAAAGCGGUGGCAUGCAACAAAACGCAAAAUCACAUGUUCAUUUUCCUGUACUGUUGAGAUAAGGGGGAAUCCGAUAUAUUGGAGGGGCAGCUAUGAUAAAGAAGGAACAGAGAUCAAAGAUGCUAGAACCGCACUGCUGGCUAUUUGCGAUUUUAAACCCAAAAUCAACUUCUUUGGAAUUAAAAAAAAUCUGAUUGUUUUUGAAACCUUCAACAAAGACAAAGCUAAAACUAACUUCCACAAAAUGAAUAGUAGCAGUAGCCCAGCAUUAAUGCAUUUUCUUUCGGACUAAACUUACAGUACCGUUUUGGUACUAUUUUCAAUCACGGCAACUCAAAAAUGCAUAAUAACUUUAAUUCUAAGAUAACCUUAGUGCAAAUCAACCUUAAGUUGGACCUCAUCUAACCAUUCACCCAUUAAAAUGACUAAGACAAACCUACAAUGAACACGUUAAAACAAAUGCAAAGUCUCUGAAAAUGCAGAUAGGUCCUGGGAAAAUUCAUCUCAGUAACCAGACCCAUAUCAUGAGGAGCAUGGACUGAACCAAACUUUCACAUCUUGAAAAAGGUUAGACGAGCGCAAGAAAUCAGACCCAAUGAGACUAACCAGCAAAUCAAACCAACAAGAGCCAACAAUCAGAAUUUGCACUCAGAAAACUGAGUAGAUGUGCUGCUUGCACAGUGCGAAACAGGGCAGAUUUUUAGCAGGCCAACAACCAGACAAAUGCCCAAAACACUGCAUGUAUCAACUCGAUUUACUGCUCAAAUGGGGCUAAUUAAAACUAAACGAACUGGUAGGCUUGAAAUGGGCAGAAAUGCAUUUGCUACAGACAUACAUGAAGAACAACUUGGCAUUCUAAUGAAAUCGAACACAAAAUAAUAUGAUUGAUUAGCUAUACAUGCUGCCAAAAGAAGAAUUCAACCAAAUGAAUGCAACGAACUCAUCUCAGGCAUUACUAUAGGCCAUUUGACUCAAAUUUACAGUCAAUGAGACGGAACAUAGAUUCACCCUAUAGUGUUAUAGCAGCCAUGAGUCCAAACAAAUUUAAAGUCUACUUUAAUACUCGCGAAAAUUAACAGAAGAAAACAACGCCGAAACCAACAACCAAAUUUGGAUAACCAAUCAAGAGGAAAUCAGCAAACUCAAUGGCACAUGUUAAUUUAACCCAUAACUAAUCAGAUUAAGUGAAGGGAGGAGAAAUGAACCUGAAAUCAGAAAUUCUUUCACUAAUAACAGAAGAAUACAAAGUUUUGCUCCAAAAAUCCAACGAAAAGCAGCCACAGUAUCGAAUAGAAAUUGUAAACCAAAAUCCAAAUCGCGAAGAUUAACUCAGACAGAACUCGAACAGUACCAAGCGGACCACAGAACAACAAGCAAUUUCAAUCAAACUCCAUCACAAGCGAGAUGGACCCAGAGACGGGAUGCAAAGAAAUCGAAAUUUUUUGUAUUUUUUGUUCUCUGAUUUUAACAAAGAAAAACGAAACUAAACACGAAAAGAAACUCAACACGAUUUUAGCUGCAUUUGUUUUUUGUAUUUUUCAAUGAAAAAGAACAAAGAAGAUGAAAAUCGAAAUAAGAAAAUUUCCAGAAAAUCAGAAGUAUCUCUAGAACCCUCAUCCAAAUUUCUCCUAAGUAUCCCAAAAGUCCUCUUUAUCUUACCCAAAAAUCCUUACCUUAUAUAACCCCUCCAAAAUCUCGAACCUUCUUCUAAAAAUCUAGAAAUCCUUUCCAUCUUCCGUGAACGAUUUAGGGAUAGAUGGAGGGCAUGGAUUGAUUUCCAUCCAUCCACGACUCCCAUAUGUCCAACAAAUCGCUCAAGAGGUGAAAGGCACGUGAGAAAUCCGGAAGGAACCUUCUUAUUUUGUCAGAGGCCGUUGGAAUCUUGCUGACGUGGUGGGCUAAGGGUGCGUGUGAGUGAACUCGCCUGAGUUUGGGGUUGAAUCGGACUGGAGAAGAAGAACAGUAGCUGACGCCGCUUUGAG